GGCCUGGCAAAGGAAACCGGACCGAGACCUAGCAGAGAAGGCUCCGGUUAGCCAGGGACUCAGCAGCUGCUCCAUGUUAGUUGUCCCCGGGGCCGCUGGAUCUAACUGGCCGCCCCCGCAGGGUGCGGAUGCCGUCUGGUCGAAGAGUGCCGGGAGGCUGCUGAUGGGGGACCUGCAGUCACAACGGAAAACGGCUCAGACUCACCUCACUCCCCAACUCCAGCCUCCCCGCCUCGAGAGUUUCAGUUAUCCGCUCUGGAUUCCAACCCUCUCCGCGAGCCUGCCUUUCCGCACCGCACUGCCCCCCACCUUCUACAAUCCCUCCGCCGAGCUCCCGCUCUGCCCCCCAAGCCGCCUCCCUCUCCCUCACAUGGAAGACAGACUCUCCUGGGGUGAGGUCCCCCGACAUCGGAAGCUGCAGUCCUCCAGGUCUGGCUCUUGGAAGGAGAAGGGAGGCAGGGAUCAGUGAGGAAGAGGUGCUGUCGGCCCCAAAGUCCCCGCCUGGGAAGUGGGUACAGGAUCUGGGACCUUACCGCCGACCUCUUUCCCCAGGAUCUCCCAACCCCCAGACAGGCAGGUCUAGUUCUUGGGAGCCCUGGUUUGAAAACCCAGCCCCUGGAGAGGCAAAAUCAUGAAAUUUCUUUCUCCUCCUCUAGGCAGAAAGGCCCCUGCCUCCUUGCUACUUUCAGCUUCUCCUCCCGACUUUUUUUUUUCCUGGAAAAUUUAUAACUUCAUAGUCAUAGAGACUUGGGGCCUAGACAGUCCUGAGUUGAACUUGGAUACUUGCUACGUGACCGCGGGGCUUAAAACUAACCUCUCCGAACUGAUUGUUAUGAAUAAGGUAAUAAAUGUGAAGUGUUAAGCUGAA